GGAGUAAGCAACGGUUGUUUGGGGUUUAUUAAAGAUUGGGAAUACAAGGGUGGGCCCUACUGCAGAGCCGGGUGCCAGAAGCAGGGCUGGGUUUGGCUGGUCACGUGCGGUCUCCUCUCCAGGCAGCCCUCAGUGGCCAAAUUUCCUAUGGAGCAGCAUCCAACCUCCCGCCCUGCAGCUCCUUCUGGAGCAGAGCCCCUCUCCGCACCAGCCCCAUCCUGGGUUACUUGUUGCUUUAACGUGCUAUUUGAUUACAGAGUGAUGAAGGACGAGAAGGCAUGUCUGUUGCGGUGGAUUUGUGCUGUCUUCGGGCUGCAUAGGGAGCUCUGCCCAUCAGGCCUGAACUCUACUUGAACGUGUGGCUCUCAGCUCCUCCCCGGCCAAACCCUUUGGGUCCGAACAAGGCAGCGUAGCAGGGGUGGUUGCAGUAGGGCUUGCCAUCGUGCUCUGCGUGCCCCCCAGAUGUCAGGGUCUUGUUACACUUCUCACAUCGCAGGCAGGGCCGGUG
rnacentral:lncRNA from 1 species